rnacentral:rRNA from 1 species
GUUGCGAACGGGUGAGUAACACGUGGGUGAUCUGCCCUGCACUUCGGGAUAAGCCUGGGAAACUGGGUCUAAUACCGGAUAGGAGCCAUUUUUAGUGUGAUGGUUGGAAAGUUUUUUCGGUGUAGGAUGAGCUCGCGGCCUAUCAGCUUGUUGGUGGGGUAAUGGCCUACCAAGGCGGCGACGGGUAGCCGACCUGAGAGGGUGGACGGCCACAUUGGGACUGAGAUACGGCCCAG